CUUUCUACCUCAGGAGUUUGCACAGGAUCUAGUAUAUAAUAUUCAAUUUCAAUAACUGUCUCUUAGCUGUCAUAAUAAUAUGUAGAAUAAACUCCAGUCUCUCACUGACAAUCUCUUGAUUUGAUUAUAUUUAAAAAUAUGCGCCCUCAUGAGAAGAUAAUCCUCAUUUCAAGCAUCAUUCAGCUACCCUUCCACCAUUAAUACAACCCCAGAGAGGCUGCAUAAGCCUCCUAAUACAUGCAGACAACAGGAAGUGGAAGGAUUCCCAGAGGUGUAUCAGAGUUCCAGUCACACAGGUACUUUUUAAGACAAUGCCAGUUUCAAUAGAUGUUGAGAUGGAGUUGUUGAUCAUCUUUCUAUGACCCACCACAGAACAUCAAAGAAAUCAAAAAUGCCUCAAGUCUAUUCCCAUUUUGGACUAAAGGAGGUCAAAGUCACACCUCCCACUUUUCAAGAAGAGGUGAUUCAAUCACUAAAGCAGCCUGUCUGGGAGAAACUUCCAACUUUUCCACUGAAACUGUGCAUCUGCAUCCUAAUUAGAAGAGCAAUAGGGCAGUUCUAAAGUUGAAGUUUAAUCAAGUAGGGGGAAUAGGAAAACAAAUGAAAAACCACUCAAUUUAUAAUCUGAAAUUGCUGUUUCCCUUAAAUAUUUUCUCCAGGUAAUUUAAAAAGAAUUAACAAAAAUAUUCAAGAUGUUUAGUCAGGCUGGAUAUAGCCAAAUUUGAGACACAUUAUCCAACCAUUUUUUGUUGA